GACGAACGCUGGCGGCGUGCUUAACACAUGCAAGUCGAACGGAAAGGCCCUGCUUUUGUGGGGUGCUCGAGUGGCGAACGGGUGAGUAACACGUGAGUAACCUGCACUUGACUUUGGGAUAACUUCAGGAAACUGGGGCUAAUACCGGAUAGGAGCUCCUGCUGCAUGGUGGGGGUUGGAAAGUUUCGGCGGUUGGGGAUGGACUCGCGGCUUAUCAGCUUGUUGGUGGGGUAGUGGCUUACCAAGGCUUUGACGGGUAGCCGGCCUGAGAGGGUGACCGGCCACAUUGGGACUGAGAUACGGCCCAGACUCCUACGGGAGGCAGCAGUGGGGAAUAUUGCACAAUGGGCGGAAGCCUGAGGCAGCAACGCCGCGUGCGGGAUGACGGCCUUCGGGUUGUAAACCGCUUUCGCCUGUGACGAAGCGUGAGUGACGGUAAUGGGUAAAGAAGCACCGGCUAACUACGUG
rnacentral:rRNA from 1 species